ACCAAGAGUCCUUCAGAACAUGUGACCUUCCUGCUCACAACAUAAAACUCAGCUUUCUGUGGCCUCUAUAGUUCGGCUCAGCACCUAUAUCCCAUCCAAGACAAAGGCACCACUUCAAUGACAGGUCACCAGUCUUUGGUUGGGAAAGAAGAUGAGACUGCUGCUUGAAUGUACACCUCUAGGCAGAGCUGAACAUCCUUUAGAAAACUGCUGGUGGUCUGAAAGUUGCACAUCUUCCAGCAUGUUCUUGCUGCCCAGUGGAGGUUCCUGAUCUGGCCAUCUGCAGUGUCACGCUCCGUGUAUUUGACAAGCUGAGUUGGACACUCUGUGUGGUAGAGUGUCAGUUUGUCAAAUACCCCAAGUGUGGCUCAUGCUUAUCAGCUCCAGGUCCAGGACAGAGCACAUAGCCUGCUGGCUACAUAUGAAUGCUUAUGAAACAUGAAUCUCUCUGGAGUUAUUCUAUGUCUUUGAGGGAACUAUAACAUUUAUUCAGAGGACAUCAGAGUAGAAAUGAUGAAGCUCUGGAGUCUACAAGUCUGGUAUGCAUAUGUGUACAUUGUGAAAAUGCCAUGGACUGCAUAGUGGUCUUGAAAAUACAUGAGGGAUACAGGGAAUGAGAGUAUUAUUUGAUUUAUUAUUAAUGUCUUCUUUCACUUUCCUCUUCUUGCAGCCAGAAUAGCAGAAUUUUCAUACAAGCAUCAUGAAUUCUAUGAGAAAGUAGGAAAUAAAUAUCCACUGUCUGGCCUUCGGAGCACAUCUUAACCUUACCUACAUUUUCUCUUUUCCACUUUGUUUUUAUCCUCCUUAAAAGAACCUUCUUGUUUAUCUUCCUUGGACUUUCAGACACUAACAAAUUCCAAUUUCUCUUGGCACUAUUGAAAGUUAACCUAUACUUUACUCCUUGGCUAACCACAUACUGGUAUGUGCUAUUAUAUGUCUUACCAUCCAACACAUCUUCUAAUGUUGUCAGUGAAUUUUUCCAGGGUAUAUUCUUGAAUUCUCUAUUAUAUUGUAAGAGUCUAGAGCUUAUUAUACU